rnacentral:rRNA from 1 species
AACGUAGGACGCAAGCGUUAUCCGGAGUUACUGGGCGUAAAGCGCGUGCAGGCGGUCGGUCAAGUCUGAUGUGAAAUCUCUCCGCUCAACGGGGAGCAGCCAUUGGAAACUGGGCGACUGGAGUCUGACAGAGGUAGGCGGAACUCCGGGUGGAGUGGUGAAAUGCGUAGAGAUCCGGAGGAACACCAGAGGCGAAGGCGGCCUACUGGGUCAGUACUGACGCUGAGCCACGAAAGCCAGGGGAGCGAACGGG